AUCCAGCUGACGAGUCUCAAAUAGGACAAAAUGUACAUCAAAUUGGAU
rnacentral:hammerhead_ribozyme from 1 species